UUUCCUCCUGAGCUGGCAGAGGCCAUCUUGUAAUGUACGCGGAUGGCAGUGACAGUGACAGCAGUAACAGAGGAAGGACCAAAGUCCGGAGAGGAGAAAUCACUUGUCCAAGGACACAUGGGGAGUUGGACCCAGGCUGGAUCCCAGGGCUCUUGAUUCCUGUUCAGAAUCAACACCACGCUUCCGACUCUGGUCCUCUACAACCUUGGCCAGGAGCCGGGCCUCUUGGAAGAGUACAACAGAGAACAAAAGCCAGGCCCUUACAACCCCCUCAGAACCCUGGAGGUUCUGAGGAGAAGACUGGCAUGGUCUUUCUACUGCUCUGUGGAAAGAGUGCACUGGGGAAGGAGGGAAGCAGGGAGACCAGCAAGAGGCCAUUGGGGUCCUCCCAGUGGAAGCAGGUAAAAGCUGGGACCAGGGGCCAGCAGUGGAGGGGUGAGAAGUAGUGGGGUCCUGGAUGUAUUUUGAAAGUAGGGCCACAUGUUUUACUAAGAGUUGGGUUGGGGGUGUGGGAGAAAGCAAGCAGUCAAGUUUGACUCCAAUUUUUUCGACCUGAGCAACUGAAAGAUGAAGUUAAGUUGCCUUUCCUGAAGUGGGAAGACCACCAAAGGAGCAGGUCUGGGGACAGACCAGGUUCAUCUGACAUUGAACUUGCUGAAUUUGAGGUGACUGUUAUCAGCGCCUGCCAUGAUGAGUCAUGGAGACUGAGGCAGUAAGAACAAUCGUGAGCCAGCGGUCUUCCAAGGGGAUCUGUGACAGGGAUGUGAGCUGAAGGAUGGUCACAGCUGGGAGGUCCUGGAUGGGAAACGUGAACAAGGAGAAGUCUCUGUGCGGACGUGUGCCUGGGCGACCCAGAAGCAGCCAGCAGGGUGUGAGCCUAUCAGCCCGCUGCACCCCAUCGGGGCCCCCAUGAUGGAUGGCAUCUGUCUUCUGC